GACGAACCACACAAACGUUAUUCGGAAUUACUGGGCUUAAAGGGUGCGUAGGCGGCGCAGAAAGUAGGGUGUGAAAUCCCUCGGCUCAACCGAGGAACUGCGCCCUAAACUACUGUGCUCGAGGGAGGUAGAGGUGAGCGGAACUUAGGGUGGAGCGGUGAAAUGCGUUGAUAUCCUAAGGAACACCGGUGGCGAAGGCGGCCCACUGGAUCGGUACUGACGCUGAGGUGCGAAAGCGUGGGGAGCAAACAGG
rnacentral:rRNA from 1 species